CAUCGAGUGGCGGGCGCUGGUCACCAGUCCCGUCACGAGAGGGAACCCGGUGAGAAUCCGGGACUGUCCCGCAGCGGUAAGUGGGAACGACCACCGUCAAUAAGCACUGGUACGCAGGGCCCUGCAUCCGGGAAGCGACGGUCAGUAGGAACACCGGAUCGUUGGUGUGCGCCCGCGAGUCCGAAGACCUGCCAGUUGUGCCGGGCGUGC
rnacentral:ncRNA from 2 species